CUGUGACUAUGCAUCUAGGAGAAGGCUUGGGGCUAAGCGUUCUUUCCAAAAAAUGGAGAAGAGGGCCUUGGUUUGUGGGUUUGGAGUUUGAUUGGGACAACAGCAGCUCCACCUGGUGCAACGGUGGCCAUGUCACAGCACAGAAAGAAGUAGCAGUUUGAGGGGGAGAAGUACAAGACACUGAUAUUGCUUCGCUUUGAAUCUACUUUCAAAUUUAGGCCCCCGCUCUUCUUUUUUUUUUUU
rnacentral:misc_RNA from 1 species